AUGGCUCAACUCCAGCAGCUUGUGCCUGGUGAGACUGGGUUCUGUGGCCUGCUUUCCAGGGCUUCCGUGUAGUCUGGAAUCAGCUAAUGAGAACUGAGAUGAGCAGGAUUAUUUGAGUACAGAGUGCAGCCAGCAAAAGACCCACCUGGAUUUUCCCAGCUUGGAUGAGUUGCUUUGUGACAGUGUUUCUCUCCUUCUGUGCACUUUGCUCGCCUAAGUUCCUACACAAACACUCCCCUCUUUCUUCACAGCUCUCAACAGGGAAGUAUGCCUUUCUGGAGCUAAAACAGGAGGACACCACAAAGCACUGCAUGGAGGCAUCAGCAGACAGCCGAGGAGAGGGAAGAGAACGCCUCUUGUCACCUCUGAAGCCUUGAAGUUGUGUGUAGGUGCGUUAACCUGCAUUGGCUAUUCAACAACACACCAUUCACAUGGUAUAACAAAAAAAAAAAAAGUGCUAACACUCCACAGCCAGGAAGAAGGAAAACAUCUGAAGAUGGUAGGUAUUCACCCGCUAGCUCUCUGUCUUAUCAGGCUCCAUUUGCUUAACAGGGAAGUAUCCAAACAUUUAAGUAUGCAAAUGUGUAAAGCCAAAUGAGACAUCAUUUCAUUCUGUUAUUGUCUUACAGUGAAAGGGAGCAAAUGAGCAAGCGGACGGACGGCUUCGUGCCAAUUAUCUUCACUACGUUGUCUUUUAUGCGAAGGUAUUGCCGAAAGCAACCCCCCACAUUCUAGCAGCAGCAGUAACAUGAAUAUUUUAGGGGCUGUGCGAUUUCUUUUGUGGGUUAUGGCUGGAAAUAAAAAUUUUAGGUUGCAAGUGCUUUGGCAAAUAUGUAAUAAACUGCCAAGGCUAAAA
rnacentral:lncRNA from 1 species